AACGAACGCUGGCGGCAGGCCUAACACAUGCAAGUCGAACGCUCUAGCAAUAGAGAGUGGCAGACGGGUGAGUAACGCGUGGGAACCUUCCCAAUGGUGCAGAAUAGCCCAGGGAAACUUGGGGUAAUACUGCAUAAGCCCUUCGGGGGAAAGAUUUAUCGCCAUUGGAUGGGCCCGCGUCGGAUUAGCUAGUUGGUGAGGUAAGGGCUCACCAAGGCACCGAUCCGUAGCUGGUUUGAGAGAAUGACCAGCAACACUGGGACUGAGACACGGCCCAGACUCCUACGGGAGGCAGCAGUGGGGAAUCUUGGACAAUGGGCGCAAGCCUGAUCCAGCCAUGCCGCGUGAGUGACGAAGGCCUUAGGGUUGUAAAGCUCUUUUGCCGGGGACGAUAAUGACGGUACCCGGAGAAUAAGUCCCGGCUAACUUCGUGCCAGCCGCCGCAGUAA
rnacentral:rRNA from 1 species